CCUACGGGAGGCAGCAGUCGGGAAUAUUGCACAAUGGGGGAAACUCUGAUGCAGCGACGCCGCGUGAAGGAAGAAGGUUUUCGGAUUGUAAACUUCUAUCAGUAGGGAAGAUAAUGACGGUAACUGACGAAGAAGCCCCGGCUAACUACGUGCCAGCAGCCGCGGGAAUACGUAGGGGGCCAGCGUUAACCGGAAUUACUGGGUGUAAAGGGUGCGUAGGCGGAUUAACAAGUCAGAAGUGAAAGCCCGGGGCUCAACUGCGGGACUGCAUUUGAAACUAUUGAACUAGAGUGUAGGAGAGGUAAGUGGAAUUCCUAGUGUAGCGGUGAAAUGCGUAGAUAUUAGGAGGAACACCAGUGGCGAAGGCGACUUACUGGACUAUAAAUGACGCUGAGGCUCGAAAGCGUGGGGAGCAAACAGGAUUAGAUACCCCAGUAGUC
rnacentral:rRNA from 1 species